ensembl:lncRNA
CUGCUACAUCAUCCUCAAGUUAACACACACACACACUGCUACAUCAUCCUCAAGUUAACACACACACACACUGCUACAUCAUCCUCAAGGUAGCACACACACACACACUGCUACAUCAUCCUCAAGUUAACACACACACACACACACUGCUACAUCAUCCUCAAGGUAACAAACACACACACACACACUGCUACAUCAUCCUCAAGGUAACACACACACACACACACACACACUGCUACAUCAUCCUCAAGGUAGCACACACACACUGCUACAUCAUCCUCAAGGUAGCACACACACACACUGCUACAUCAUCCUCAAGGUAGCACACACACACACUGCUACAUCAUCCUCAAGGUAGCACACAC